UGAAGAUCUUAAGUUUCAAUCUUUAUGAAA
rnacentral:piRNA from 1 species